rnacentral:pre_miRNA from 1 species
AAUAAGUGCAGUUUUGCACUAUUCACGUUCAACGUUUGACCAUCCGUCUUAUUUGAAAAUUUUUUAUGAUUAGUAUUUUUAUUGCUAUUAGAUGAUAAAAUAUGAAUAGUACUUUAUGUUUUUAAUUUUUUCAUAAAUUUUUCAAAUAAGACGGACGGUCAAACGUUGAACGUGAAUAGUGCAAAACUGCACUUAUU